AUGGUAAAACUGAUAGCUUCUUAUGAUGAGGAGGUUGGUGCUGUUGUACUAGGCAAUGCUCCAGGAAAUGCAAAGUAUACUUCACCAACAAUUCAAAAAGAAAUCAUGCAUAUUAUGGCUUGUGAUGUGCAAAGUUCAAUCCGCAAUGAAAUUGGCGAUGCCAAGUUUUGCCUGCUUAUUGAUGAAUCAAGAGAUGAAUCUAAAAGAGAGCAAAUGGCCAUUGUUCUCCAUUUUGUUGAUAAACAAGGUUUCAAUCGAGAACGUCUUUUUGAUCUUGUUCAUGUUAAAGAUACAUCUUCAGCAACUUUAAAAGAAGAAAUAGAUUUUGUUUUGUCCCAACAUGAUUUGGAUGUUCAAAAUAUUCGGGGACAAGGAUAUGAUGGUGCUAGCAACAUGCAUGGAGAGUGA
rnacentral:rRNA from 1 species